UACGUAGGGGGCAAGCGUUGUCCGGAUUUAUUGGGCGUAAAGAGCGUGUAGGCGGCCAGACAGGUCAGCUGUGAAAACUCGAGGCUCAACCUCGAGACGUCGGUUGAAACCGUUUGGCUAGAGUCCGGAAGAGGAGAGUGGAAUUCCCGGUGUAGCGGUGAAAUGCGCAGAUAUCGGGAAGAACACCCGUGGCGAAGGCGGCUCUCUGGGACGGUACUGACGCUGAGACGCGAAAGCUAGGGGAGCAAACAGG
rnacentral:rRNA from 1 species